rnacentral:rRNA from 1 species
GACAGAGGGUGCAAACGUUUGUUCGGAAUUACUGGGCGUAAAGCGAGUGUAGGCGGUUUGGUAAGUCGGAUGUGAAAGCCCCGGGCUCAACCCGGGAAGUGCACUCGAUACUGCCAAGCUAGAGUAUCGGAGAGGUUGGUGGAAUUCUCGGUGUAGAGGUGAAAUUCGUAGAUAUCGAGAGGAACACCGGUGGCGAAGGCGGCCAACUGGACGAAUACUGACGCUGAGACUCGAAAGCGUGGGGAGCAAACAGG